ensembl:lncRNA
UUCAAAAAAUUCUAACGGACCCUCUUAUGUCACAUGGACUACUUUGAAGAUGUUUUUAUUACCUUUCUGGACGUGGACAGUAUACCAUACAUACAUUUUCAAUGGAGGAACAGAAAGCUCUCGGACUAAAUCUAAAAUAUCUUAAACUGUGUUCUGAAGAUGAACGGAGGUCUCACAGGUUUGGAACGACAUGAGGGUGAGUCAUUAAUGACAUAAUUUUCAUUUUUGGGUGAACUAUCCCUUUAAUCCCCGGCAGGCCCGCUGGGCCCUAUCUUCACCCGCUUCAAUUUCCAAAUCACCUACCGCCCUGGAAAAUGGAAUUGCAAGGCUGAUGCCCUAUCGCGCACAUACUCCCAAGACACUCCAUCGGACCCCGAGCCAGAACUCCUUCCAGCCAUGAUUGUAAGCCCCAUAAUCUGGAGUUCUGACAAGGACAUCCGAGCUGCCAUACGGAUCGAACCUGGUCCACUUGGAGGCCCAGAAGGGAGGACUUGCAUCCCCAGGUCCCAAUGGCAAUCCCUUCUGGGCUCAGUUCACAGUAUACUGGGCUCUGGACUUCCAGGCAGCCAACGGACCCUCUUUCUCCAUGCUCUGUACUGGUGGCCCAGUAUGUCCUGGGAUGUCAUCAGGUACAUCCAUAGUUGCUCAGUCUGUGCAAUGUCUUCCACUCCUCAUCUUCCAGCAGGCAAACUCGUGCCCCUACCUGUUCCUUGGAGGUCCUGGUUCCACCUGGGGAUCGACUUUGACUGACCUGCCAGAAUCUGAAGAACUUCGGACUGCCAGAGGAUAUCAGAGGCCUAGGUCUCCCUCGUCGUCGCAUCAGGGCAUCAGGAGCCACCCCUGGAAGAGGGGGCAGUGUCAGGGAUUCAGGUCCCAUCACUCCCGAUCCCAGUCACCGGAGUACUGCUCACCUGCACCUGCACCUGCACCCAGCAAUCACACUCAACUAUAAAGCCAUCAUCACACCAGUACUCCAGCAUCUGGUAUACCGUUCACUCUACGGAACAUUUGCCAGACUAACUUCUCUCUCCACUAACUUGUUUUCUCUGCCCUCAGAUAUCCCAACCUUCCUUUUUUUUUAUUAUUUUUUUUCCUUCGUUGUCUCCUACCUGGACUCUGUGCAUUCUCCCUC